rnacentral:rRNA from 1 species
CGGACGGGUGAGUAAUGUCUGGGAAACUGCCCGAUGGAGGGGGAUAACUACUGGAAACGGUAGCUAAUACUGCAUAACGUCGCAAGACCAAAGAGGGGGACCUUAGGGCCUCUUGCCAUCGGAUGUGCCCAGAUGGGAUUAGCUAGUAGGUGGGGUAAUGGCUCACCUAGGCGACGAUCCCUAGCUGGUCUGAGAGGAUGACCAGCCACACUGGAACUGAGACACGGUCCAG